rnacentral:rRNA from 1 species
GAUGAACGCUGGCGGCGUGCUUAACACAUGCAAGUCGAACGAUGAAGCUCAGCUUGCUGGGUGGAUUAGUGGCGAACGGGUGAGUAACACGUGAGUAACCUGCCCUUAACUCUGGGAUAAGCCUGGGAAACUAGGUCUAAUACCGGAUAGGAGCGCCUACCGCAUGGUGGGUGUUGGAAAAAUUUAUCGGUUUUGGAUGGACUCGCGGCCUAUCAGCUUGUUGGUGAGGUAAUGGCUCACCAAGGCGACGACGGGUAGCCGGCCUGAGAGGGUGACCGGCCACACUGGGACUGAGACACGGCCGAGACUCCUACGGGAGGCAGCAGUGGGGAAUAUUGCACAAUGGGCGAAAGCCUGAUGCAGCGACGCCGCGUGAGGGAUGACGGCCUUCGGGUUGUAAACCUCUUUCAGUAGGGAAGAAGCGAAAGUGACGGUACCUGCAGAAGAAGCACCGGCUAACUACGUG